GACGAACCGUGCGAACGUUAUUCGGAAUCACUGGGCUUAAAGGGCGCGUAGGCGGGCGACCAAGUCAGGGGUGAAAUCGUUCGGCCCAACCGGACAAGGGCCCCUGAUACUGGUUGUCUCGAGGGAGGUAGGGGUCGAUGGAACUUCCGGUGGAGCGGUGAAAUGCGUAGAUAUCGGAAGGAACGCCGGUGGCGAAAGCGAUCGACUGGACCUCUUCUGACGCUGAGGCGCGAAAGCCAGGGGAGCAAACGGGAUUAG
rnacentral:rRNA from 1 species